rnacentral:rRNA from 1 species
GAUGAACGCUGGCGGCGUGCUUAACACAUGCAAGUCGAACGGAAAGGCCCAAGCUUGCUUGGGUACUCGAGUGGCGAACGGGUGAGUAACACGUGGGUGAUCUGCCCUGCACUUCGGGAUAAGCCUGGGAAACUGGGUCUAAUACCGGAUAGGACCACAUUUUGGAUGGUGUGGUGGAAAGUUUUUCGGUGUGGGAUGAGCUCGCGGCCUAUCAGCUUGUUGGUGGGGUAAUGGCGUACCAAGGCGUCGACGGGUAGCCGGCCUGAGAGGGUGUACGGCCACAUUGGGACUGAGAUACGGCCCAGACUCCUACGGGAGGCAGCAGUGGGGAAUAUUGCACAAUGGGCGCAAGCCUGAUGCAGCGACGCCGCGUGGGGGAUGACGGCCUUCGGGUUGUAAACUCCUUUCGCUAGGGACGAAGCGUUAUGUGACGGUACCUGGAGAAGAAACACCGGCUAACUACGU